rnacentral:rRNA from 1 species
CCUACGGGAGGCAGCAGUGAGGAAUAUUGGGCAAUGGACGCAAGUCUGAACCAGCCAUGCCGCGUGCAGGAAGACGGCUCUAUGAGUUGUAACCUGCUUUUGUACGAGGGUAAACGCAGAUACGCGUAUCUGUCUGAAAGUAUCGUACGAAUAAGGAUCGACUAGCUCCGUGCCAGCAGCCGCGGUAAUACGGAGGAUUCAAGCGUUAUCCGGAUUUAUUGGGGUUAAGGGGUGCGUAGGCGGUCGGAUAAGUUAGAGGUGAAAUCCCGAGGCUCAACUUCGGAAUUGCCGCUGAUACUGUUCGGCUAGAGAGUAGUUGCGGUAGGCGGAAUGUAUGGUGUAGCGGUGAAAUGCUUAGAGAUCAUACAGAACACCGAUUGCGAAGGCAGCUUACCAAGCUACUUCUGACGUUGAGGCGCGAAAGCGUGGGGAGCAAACAGGAUUAGAUACCCGUGUAGUC